AUGCCUUCAACAAGGCCACUAUCAGUCACAACCAGUAAAGGCCAGACGUUGGGUUUUCACCCUGGAAAUCACGACUCGAUACUCAAAAGAGCACCAGCAACAAAGAAGUCCUCCAGUGUUGUCGCCCCCACUCGCGGAGGCUACUACUACAACUCACAUACCAGCAGGCUCACAGGAACUCGUGCCCGGUCUAGACAGGAACAUAUCCCGCAAGCCAAUUCUGAACAACUGCAUGUGAAGCAAAGUCUUCAUCGCAUCCAAGACCCUGCUUCCACCACUUGCAGGUCCUCCAAUCACACCAUGGCAUUCUCCGCAUGUGUUGAUCCCUUGGAAAUCUUGAAGCGGACAUGUCCCAAGUUGUCAACAAAAACAGAGCUUUUGCUAUACCCCGGUGAAGCUGGUUGUGCUGAUAUUACAGGUGUAGACGACCGGCCCUUAUCCAGUCAAGGUGUCCAAAGAGCGCCAGAUACCAGUCCUUGUCUUCCUUCGAAGGAGAUGUUCGGAACUCACCAAUGGCUAGAUCAAAGAGGAUUGAUCACAGGUAGAACGGGGCCUUCACGCGAAGACCACGAGAGCCACCGCCUGGCGAUUGUAUUGGGAGACAUGAGAUCCCGCCGGCAACCAGCCCCAUCCUCCAUGGACGGGCAGUACCGGCCAGCCCCCGUAGCCGUAGCCUCUCUGGAUCAACGACCCGACCUCCAGACGGAUGUGCGUAGAGACAAGCUGGAGGGAUGGUAG
rnacentral:rRNA from 1 species